rnacentral:rRNA from 1 species
UACGGAGGGAGCUAGCGUUGUUCGGAAUUACUGGGCGUAAAGCGCGUGUAGGCGGUCCGGUAAGUCUGCUGUGAAAGUCGGGGGCUCAACCCUCGGAUGCCGGUGGAUACUGUCGGACUAGAGUGCGGAAGAGGCGAGUGGAAUUCCUGGUGUAGCGGUGAAAUGCGCAGAUAUCAGGAGGAACACCGAUUGCGAAGGCGGUCUGCUGGGGUAAUGCUGACACUGGAUGCGCGACAGCGUGGGGAGCAAACAGG